AGAAGCACAUUUGUCUUGCAAUGCAGAUGAAGAAAAGAAGCUGGUUUCCAGUGCUUGCAGGAAGUGGCCCUCCGGUAUGAGCUUCUUGACUAGAGAUUAAUAGGCAACUGGGAGUAUUGCCCAGUUGCUUCUGCCACUGCCAGCACAGGAGUCAUUCCAAGAGGCAUGUUAGUCUCCAACUUCUUGGAUUUGGGAGAUAUCUCAAGGAUUGUCAGCAUCAUGCUCUUAUCUAAAAAGGCAACGUACUGUGCAGGGAAUAAGUAUAACAGUAAAGAGGGGGAAACCCUAAUUUAAAUAUCACUAGCUGACCUCCACUAACAGGGAUCCAACUGAGAAAUUGCACAAAAAAUAGGGAAGCACACUUGACCUAAGAUUAUAUACCUUCAACAUGUAAGAGGAAGCUGCUUCUAAUAAGAAAAUGUAGGAAGCCUAAGAUAAUUUUAACAAUGUUCUAUCAAAUUAGAAUCUAAACCCUAAUAACACAUUGCACAUCAAUAUUACUCAAAGAAGAAACCUCUGUAAAAAUAAAUG